rnacentral:rRNA from 1 species
UACGGAGGGUGCAAGCGUUGUCCGGAACUCACGUGGCGUAAAGGGCGCGUAGGCGGCCUGGUAAGUAGGGGGUGAAAUCCUGCGGCUUAACCGCAGGGCUGCCUUCUAAACUGUCAGGCUUGAGCACGGUAGAGGCAGAUGGAAUUCCCGGUGUAGCGGUGGAAUGCGUAGAGAUCGGGAAGAACAUCAGUGGCGAAGGCGGUCUGCUGGGCCGUUGCUGACGCUGAGGCGCGACAGCGUGGGGAGCAAACAGG